AGAGAGAGAGAGAGCAACAUGGUGGAAUACAGAUAGUUAAGUAUGUACAGGUGGUAGAGUGAGAGCAACAUGGUGGAAUACAGAUAGUUAAGUAUGUACAGGUGGUAGAGAGAGAGAGCAACAUGGUGGAAUACAGAUAGUUAAGUAUGUACAGGUGGUAGAGAGAGAGCAACAUGGUGGAAUACAGAUAGUUAAGUAUGUACAGGUGGUAGAGUGAGAGAGAGCAACAUGGUGGAAUACAGAUAGUUAAGUAUGUACAGGUGGUAGAGUGAGAGCAACAUGGUGGAAUACAGAUAGUUAAGUAUGUACAGGUGGUAGAGAGAGAGCAACAUGGUGGAAUACAGAUAGUUAAGUAUGUACAGGUGGUAGAGUGAGAGCAACAUGGUGGAAUACAGAUAGUUAAGUAUGUACAGGUGGUAGAGUGAGAGCAACAUGGUGGAAUACAGAUAGUUAAGUAUGUACAGGUGGUAGAGAGAGAGCAACAUGGUGGAAUACAGAUAGUUAAGUAUGUACAGGUGGUAGAGUGAGAGCAACAUGGUGGAAUACAGAUAGCUAAGUAUGUACAGGUGGUAGAGUGAGAGAGAGCAACAUGGUGGAAUACAGAU